CACGUAGGGCGCAAGCGUUGUCCGGAAUUAUUGGGCGUAAAGAGCUCGUAGGCGGUUUGUCGCGUCUGCUGUGAAAACCCGAGGCUCAACCUCGGGCCUGCAGUGGGUACGGGCAGACUAGAGUGCGGUAGGGGAGACUGGAAUUCCUGGUGUAGCGGUGAAAUGCGCAGAUAUCAGGAGGAACACCGGUGGCGGAAGGCGGGUCUCUGGGCCGAUACUGACGCUGGAGGAGCG
rnacentral:rRNA from 1 species